CUCGUAGGCGGCCAACUAAGUCGGACGUGAAAUCCCUCGGCUUAACCGGGGAACUGCGUGUGAUACUGGAUGGCUUGAGUUUGGGAGAGGGAUGCGGAAUUCCAGGUGUAGCGGUGAAAUGCGUAGAUAUCUGGAGGAACACCGGUGGCGAAGGCGGCAUCCUGGACCAAUACUGACGCUGAGGAGCGAAAGCCAGGGGAGCAAACG
rnacentral:rRNA from 1 species